UGUCGAGAGGAAUAUCUUUUAUUGUGCUUUUCUAGUUACUUUGUGUAUAACCUCUCUGUUAAAAUCAAAAGCUAUCAUGAAAAUGUCAGGUUUCUUUGCUCUCGUGUAUCCAUAUGUCAGAGGUUUCUUUGUUUCAGUUUUGUUUCAGAGCGAGCCAUAUCGGCCACUACGUGAUCAAGCCAUUAACAAUUUGGUCACAACGUCCAGUUCACCUCAAGACAUCAUGCAAUAUGAUAACAUCAAUAUAUGGCAGGCGAUGCAGAAGGCCGACAAAAGGAAAUGAGAUCUGUAGAUGUCAAUGGCUCUGAGAAUAAAUUCGAAUGUGAAUUUUGUAUUAACGGUUCCUUUAUUUUUUAUAUAUAUGAAGUACUAAUAUUUUUUUGGCCCCACA